UACAGAGGGGGCAAGCGUUGUUCGGAAUUACUGGGCGUAAAGGGCGCGUAGGCGGCCAUCUAAGUCGAACGUGAAAUCCCCGGGCUCAACCCGGGAACUGCGUCCGAUACUGGUUGGCUUGAAUCCGGGAGAGGGAUGCGGAAUUCCAGGUGUAGCGGUGAAAUUCGUAGAUAUCGGGAGGAACACCAAUUGCGAAGGCAGCUCGCUGGGACGUUACUGACGCUGAGACGCGAAAGCGUGGGGAGCAAACAGG
rnacentral:rRNA from 1 species